rnacentral:rRNA from 1 species
UGGCGACCGGCGCACGGGUGAGUAACACGUAUCCAACCUGCCGAUGACUCGGGGAUAGCCUUUCGGAAAAGAAAGAUUAAUACCCGAUGGCAUAGUUCUUCCGCAUGGUAGAACUAUUAAAGAAUUUCGGUCAUCGAUGGGGAUGCGUUCCAUUAGCUUGUUGGCGGGGUAACGGCCCACCAAGGCAUCGAUGGAUAGGGGUUCUGAGAGGAAGGUCCCCCACAUUGGAACUGAGACACGGUCCAAACUCCUACGGGAGGCAGCAG